GUGAGUCAUCGAAUCUUUGAACGCAUCUUGCGCUCCUUGGUAUUCCGAGGAGCAUGCCUGUUUGAGCGUCGUUGAAUUCUCAGAAUCCCAUGAGGGCUGUCCUUCAUGUGGGGUCUGGAUUGUGGAGGAUGCAAUGCUGCCCGAAAGGUGCCUUUGCUUCUCUGAAAUGUACUGGCACUGCCAUCGGUAUGAUACAUACGUCUACCGUGCAGCCAGGUGCAGAUUCUUUCAUGAUUUGACCUCAAAUCAGGCAGGACUACCCGCUGAACUUAAGCAUAUCAAUAAGCGGAGGA
rnacentral:misc_RNA from 1 species